rnacentral:rRNA from 1 species
AGAGUUUGAUCAUGGCUCAGAAUCAACGCUGGCGGCGUGCCUAACACAUGCAAGUCGCACGAGAAAGUGGAGCAAUCCAUGAGUAAAGUGGCGCACGGGUGAGUAACACGUGAAUGAUCUACCUCCGAGUGGGGAAUAACUGAGAGAAAUCUUAGCUAAUACCGCAUAAUACCCACGGGUCAAAGCAGCAAUGCGCUUGGAGAGGAGUUCGCGGCCGAUUAGCUAGUUGGCGGGGUAAUGGCCCACCAAGGCGAUGAUCGGUAUCCGGCCUGAGAGGGCGCACGGACACACUGGAACUGAAACACGGUCCAGACUCCUACGGGAGGCAGCAGUGGGGAAUUUUGCGCAAUGGGGGAAACCCUGACGCAGCAACGCCGCGUGGAGGAUGAAAUCCCUUGGGAUGUAAACUCCUUUCGAUAGGGAAGAUUAUGACGGUACCUAUAGAAGAAGCCCCGGCUAACUUCGUGCCAGCAGCCGCGGUAAUACGAGGGGGGCAAGCGUUGUUCGGAAUUAUUGGGCGUAAAGGGUGCGUAGGCGGUUUGACAAGUCUGAUGUGAAAUCUAUGGGCUCAACCCAUAGUCUGCAUCGGAAACUGUCGGGCUUGAGUAUGGGAGAGGUGAGUGGAAUUUCCGGUGUAGCGGUGAAAUGCGUAGAUAUCGGAAGGAACACCUGUGGCGAAAGCGGCUCACUGGACCAUUACUGACGCUGAGGCACGAAAGCUAGGGGAGCAAACAGGAUUAGAUACCCUAGUAGUCC